UGUGGCUUUUUUUAUCAGUUACCAGAUGCAUUCUGAUAUUCAGCUGUAAGGAAUUGAGAGAGGAUUAUUCCAAUUCCUCUUUCUACAGCAUUUUUGUAUAGUAAGUAGUACAGUUUUCAGUACACACCUUAAAUAAGGAUAGUGUUCCCCAGAUCCCCACUGGGACCUCGACUCAGAUCAUGGGGACUGGGGUAAUAAACAUCUGCUGACUUGUGUUCUAGAAGGACUAAGGAGAAUUAGGAAAAAGCCCAAGAAUUAUUCAAUGAUGUCCACCAUAACUCAGGGAAAGGAAGAAAAUCCUCUGCCUUCCUCAAGUGGCUACUGGAGGCCUUAAGAAAAUAUACUCCUCUGUCACCCAACUCACUUGAGGGUCAAUUGUUCCUAAAGGAUAAGUUUAUUACCCAAU
rnacentral:lncRNA from 1 species